GGGUAUAUAGCUCAGUGGUAGAGCACAUGCUUGGGGUGCACAAGGUCCUGGGUUCAAUUCCCAGUACCCCUG
rnacentral:tRNA from 1 species